rnacentral:lncRNA from 1 species
UUUUCCUAGUAAUAAUAUUCCUUCAUCAACUGAUAACAGGAGUGUGCAAUCCUAUACUCUCAAAAGACCACUCAAAACACAUAAUUUCCAUCCAACACCAAAAAUAACAGACUUCACUCUAAUCAAUCUGAAUUCACAUAAUUUUUGUAAUCACAAACUUCCUCUAUUGAAAUACACACAACUCUCAAUAAACAAUAAUCAUAAUCUUUUAAAAACUCCUCAUAUAAUUCAAUCUUUCAGUGCUCCAAUUACAUAAUCAAUAACUCAUAAAUCAAUCUUUGAUUUAUUUCAUAGACUCACUUUUCAGUAUUCAAAAACUAU